CUUUGCUCAGUACUUUGUUGACGCUCUUUGGCAGCAAUCACAGCUUUGAUUCUUCUUGGUUAUGCCUCAACAAGCUUUGCACAUCUAGAUUUGGGCAGUUUCUGCCAUUCUUUCUUGAAGAUAGUCUCUUGCUUUCUCAGAUUGUAUGAGAAGCGUAAUUGAACUGCAAUAUUCAGGUCUUCUCACAGAUGUUCAGAUUCAACUUCGGCCUUUGGCUGGGGGUCACACAAGGAGUUGGCUGGGCCCCGCUGCAUUUAGCUUUUUUCCUUCCAUCCCUCAAUUCUGACCAUUCAGUCCCUGCUGCUGAGAAGCAUCCUCACAGCAUGAUGCUUCCACCACCAUGCCUCGCCUUAUGUAUGUUAGUAACCUGGUGAUGAGCAGUACCUUUUUUUUGCCAGAUGUAGUGUUUGGCAUUCAGCGCUAAUAUUUCGAUUUUGGUCGCGUCAGAUCAAAUAAUAUAUUUCCUCAUGCUCUGAGUCCUUUAAGUGCUGUUUGACAAACUCCAGGUGACAUGUCAUCUGCCUUUUAUUCAGGAGUGGCUUCCGUCUAGCCACUCUACCAUGAAGACCUGGAGUGAUGGAUUGCUACAGGGAUUGUUGUUCCAGGUUUUCUCAUACCUGCAGAGAAAAACUCUGAGGCUCUGUCAGUUUCUUCGGUCACUUCCCUGAACAAAACCCUUCUUCCCCGGUUAUGUAGUUUGGUUGGGCGGACAGCUCUAAUGAGAGUCUUGGUGGUUCCAAAAUUCUUGCUUUUAACACUGCUUCAAGUAACAUUAAACUUUUUUUAAUAUCCUUCCUGGCUUGGUAAAGAUAUAUCUUUCAGCACUGCAAUGACCCCAAGCACUUAGUCAAGACAAUGCUGGAGUGGAAUUCAUGGCUUGGUUUUUGCUCUGACAUCUACUGUGACGUGUGGGACCUUAAAUAGACCAGUGUGUGCCUUUCUAAAUCAUGUUGAAUUUGGCACAGAUGGACCCGUUUUUAAUUUUCAAUUAAUUGGCACAUAUUCCUAAAAACAUGUUUUCACUUUGCCAUUACGGGAUAUUGUGUAUAUUGAUGGAGAAAAAUGAUUAUCUUUCUAUCCAUCAAUCUAUAUAUAUACACACAAGCAUACAUACACACAAUCACAGACAAACACACAAGGACAAAUGCAUUCUUAGAGGCUUAGUGUCAUGCAGUAAACUAAUCCUUUCCUGCACGCUUCUUCUCCACUCUUUUGCUGUCUCUCAACUUUACUCUAAUGUUUAACAUGUGUAUAUGACACAAGUAAUUAUUUUUCAGCGCAGAAUUGAGGCUUUUGGCUAAUAGUGAUACUGAUAAAAAAAAAGAAGGCAAUUUUGUUUGCUCAGGUGGAGGAGAGAAAUCCAUUGGCUGUGAAUGACCAUCUCUGGAACUUCGUGACUUCGUGACACUGCUGUCAUGCUUCUCUGUAGGGCGUGCUGAAUUUACAAUAACGUUGACAAUGGCAAUGACCUAUCCAGUUUGCACUUUAAUGUCGUGUUGGGGUCCUGGCACAGUCUGCUUGUCAGCCCUGUCCUUGGCUGGCCUAGUGACAGGAUCUGGUAACCUCCAUAGGAGUUGUAAGACAGCACUAGAAGAUGAGGCCGUAUCCACCAAGAUGAUCUAGGAAGCUGAGUUUUAGAUCAUAAUGAAUCUGUCUGUAUCAUCUUAUUCAUUACCGGUGUAACUUACAGAUCCUAGAUGAGCACACUGAGACGCUGUUGAUGUGGCCACUGGCUAGGGCGGAAUUUCCGAGCUACAGCUGUGUAGUCAUGGAGGUCGUUUUGUUCAAAGUUUUGUUUUAUAAGGGUUUUUUGUUGCCCCCGAACAGUUUCUCUUGUCUGAGAUGUCUUUGUUUUCAACCCAAGAAGGCUUUUUGUGUGUUCAAUUAAUGAUUAAGAAAGCAUAGUUAAACAUUUACUGUUCUGAGUAAAAUAUCCUUACUUGGAAUAAUGUGUGUCAGUUGAGUAGAACUAGCUCUCAACUGAAAGGGUUUCGUGUUUUGAUUAUUGGAGAUAGCAUCAAAGCUAGAAGUUGCGCCAAUUUUAAUUUCACAUAAUGACCAUAGAGUUGGAUAGACAGCUCACUUAUCCUGUUAUGGUGUCUUCGACAGCAGUGGCAGCACCUUUAAGGCAUCUUUAUUUUGAAGUAGUUUAAUUGUUAUUAUCAUUUAGUGUUUGUAAAAAGGGUAUAUUAUAGUGAUAUACCACCACCACCACCAAUGAUUAGACAUUUAAUGGUUAGUCCCAAGUCAAAGAUUUGUCGGUUUUGCUAUUCUAUUUCUAAACAGUUCUUACUCAAAAAUCUCUGAAUUGGUUUUUGCUAGCUCUGAUAAAUAGCCCCCUGUUAUAAGUUGUUCCGAACCUAUGACUGGGGAAGCCCUCAAUGAAAAAAAUUAAAUAAAAAAAGUGUACAUAUAUUAACCUGCUAUGGUAGACUACAGUUCUCUAACUUUCUCUAUGGUUAACUUGUGUCAAAUGAUGUCUCCUUUAUGUUACUUGGCCCCGAUGACUAAAUAAUGAUUUGAUUUGAUCGAUUUUAUUUUAAACAGAUGUUUGUUUUUAGGCUGUGUCUUUCUGGCAGGUGCUGCCGUGUGUUCAGCGUCACACGUCUAUGAGAAACAUAAUGAGAUCAACCAUCUCUAGCCUACAGCCUUUUUGUCCCAGAUUACUCAGUUAACCCUGGUCCAAACUAGUCCCUAUGACAUGCAGAGAAAAGAGUGCCAUUUUUGGACGCGUCUAGCAUUUCAUGUUCUGUUUUCAUUAUCAUGUCUCUACACUAUGCUAGCUAGUCAUCAUGUCUCUACACUAUCCUAGCUAGUCAUCAUGUCUCUACACUAUUCUAGCUAGUCAUCAUGUCUCUACACUAUUCUAGCUAGUCAUCAUGUCUGUACAAUAUGCUAGCUAGUUGUCAUCAUAAUAUAUGUACAGUAUGCUAGGUAGUCAUCAUGUCUCUACCGAAUGCUAGCUAGUGUUCAUUAUCAUAAUAUAUGUACAGUAUGCUAGGUAGUUAUCAUCUGUACCAAAUGCUAGUUAGUUGUCCAUCAACAUUUCAACUUAACAUUCAAAAUAACAUCAAAAGCAGCUUCUUCCACUUGGUUAACCUUUUUCUACAUACAUUAUCUUUUCUUUAUGCUUUAUUAAAAAUGUUGUAUUUCUUAUUUACAUAGUGUAUACAAUGUGAAAGAGAUUAGUGGUUUGUUUUUGGACAGAAAAGACAUAUUAAAGCUAAGAAAUGUU
ensembl:lncRNA